GAGAAUGCGAUGAUGAGAACAAGUACCUCAUGAAGAAUCUGGUGCAGAGAGUCGGUGGUGGGUGCAAACCGAUCCGGUCUGUGGGGGAAUCCAUCUCGGAGUGGCAAAGGAAUGAACUUUGUCCGGAACCGUCCCGUUACGACGGAUUGAGUGGAUACAUGUGCAGUCUUGGCGUGUAUCAACGAGGGUGGCAACGCGGGUAUACAACACUCGUCCCUUAU
rnacentral:ncRNA from 1 species